CCUACGGGAGGCAGCAGUGGGGGAUAUUGCACAAUGGGGGAAACCCUGAUGCAGCGACGCCGCGUGGGCGAAGAAGUAUUUCGGUAUGUAAAGCCCUGUCAGCAGGGAAGAAAGUGACGGUACCUGAAGAAGAAGCCCCCGCUAACUACGUGCCAGCAGCCGCGGUAAUACGUAGGGGGCAAGCGUUAUCCGGAUUUACUGGGUGUAAAGGGGGCGCAGACGGCGAUGCAAGCCAGGAGUGAAAGCCCUGGGCCCAACCCCGGGACUGCUCUUGGAACUGCGUGGCUGGAGUGCAGGAGGGGCAGGCGGAAUUCCUGGUGUAGCGGUGAAAUGCGUAGAUAUCAGGAGGAACACCAGUGGCGAAGGCGGCCUGCUGGACUGCAACUGACGUUGAGGCCCGAAAGCGUGGGGAGCAAACAGGAUUAGAUACCCGAGUAGUC
rnacentral:rRNA from 1 species